AACGAACGCUGGCGGCGUGCUUAACACAUGCAAGUCGAACGCGAAAGGGACUUCGGUCCUGAGUAAAGUGGCGCACGGGUGAGUAACGCGUAGAUAACCUGUCUUCACGUCUGGAAUAAUACGCCGAAAGGGGUACUAAUACCGGAUAUUCUUGCUUUUCAUAAGUUUUGCAAGGAAAGGUGGCCUCUGUAUAUGCUACUGCGGGAAGAGGGGUCUGCGUACCAUUAGCUAGUAGGUGGGGUAAUGGCCUACCUAGGCAACGAUGGUUAGCGGGUCUGAGAGGAUGAUCCGCCACACUGGCACUGGAACACGGGCCAGACUCCUACGGGAGGCAGCAGUGAGGAAUAUUGCGCAAUGGGGGAAACCCUGACGCAGCGACGCCGCGUGAGUGAGGAAGGCCUUCGGGUCGUAAAGCUCUGUCAAAGGGAAAGAAGUGCAUGAUGGCUAAUACCUGUCAUGUUUGACGGUACCCUUAAAGGAAGCACCGGCUAACUCCGUGCCAGCCGCCGCAGUAA
rnacentral:rRNA from 1 species